rnacentral:lncRNA from 1 species
UAACAGUAGCAUGCACUACAGUACAUCAUACAUAAAUGGAGUAUAAUUUCUCAUUCUUCUGGUACAUGAUGUAGAAUCCCACCAGUCAUAAAGUCAUAUAUGUAAAUAAGGUAAUGAUGUUUGAUUCAUUCUACUAUCCUUUCUGCCCCCUUACCUGCUCCCCUCCCUUCACUCCCCUCUACCUAAUCUAAAGUAACAAUAAUGUGCUUAUUGUAAGUUAGCAUAGCAAUUCGAUAUUAAUCUACAGCUUCAUUAGCAUUACCUCAAUCCUAAACUAUUCUAUAGUCUCUCCUGCUCCUAAACUUUCUAAUAACUACUCUUUCUACUGUAAUGUUAUACCUUAUCCUUCUUAUAAGUAACUCUAUUCAUCCUUCAACUGAAUCAGUUAAGUAUCUCUCAAAUAAGCUUAGAUCAUACUACUAUAUGUACCCAAAACAUUGCCUUUCCCUUAAAACUUUGCCACAAUCACAAUUAAUUGCACAAGUAUUUGUCUAAUUUCUGCUCUCCUUCUUUGCAUCUUAAGAUUUGCAUUGCUGUGACCAAAAUACCCAAAAAGUGCAAGUUAGAGGAUGAAAAGUUUACUUAGGCUUAGGGGUUUGGAGGUUUAGUCCAUGGUCAGCCAAGUCCAUUGUUCUGAGACAAAACAGAAGGGCAUGGCAGAGGGAAAUUGCUUAAUUUAAAGUGACCAGGAACAAGGGGGGAGUGGGAAGAAGAGAAGAGAUGGAACUGCAGGGAAAAUAAACCCUUCUAUGGCCCACACCUUGUCAUCUACCUCCUCUAGCUAUGUCCCACUUGCUUACCACCCAGCCAGUCGAGCCAUUUAAACCAGAUGGGCUUGUUAGAUUAUAUCUCUCGUAAUCUAAUUAUCACACCUCUGAACAUUUGUGAGUUAACCCAGGAAUUUUGGGGAUACACCUCAUAUGCAAAUUAUUACAUUCUAGGAGUUUAAUUUACAUGAAGGCAAAGGUGUUUUUAUUCUAGCACGCUGAAGAAAUUUAUUUAAGAUAUACACCUCACUAGUUGAAUAAUUGAGUGAAAAAAUAAAA